CUCUUAUCAAGAGCAGGCGGAGGGAGAUUGGCCCGAUGAAGCCCAGCAACCGACCGUAAUACCGUUGUGAAACGGGGCGCAGAGAAUAUGCGCCGGGAUUUUCCCGCAAGGCACGGUGCUAAUUCCAUUCAGAAAGGAUUCUUUCUGAGAGAUGAGAG
rnacentral:ncRNA from 2 species